UACGUAGGGUGCAAGCGUUGUCCGGAAUUACUGGGCGUAAAGCGUGCGCAGGCGGUUGUGCAAGACAGAUGUGAAAUCCCCGGGCUUAACCUGGGAACUGCAUUUGUGACUGCACGGCUAGAGUGUGUCAGAGGGAGGUAGAAUUCCACGUGUAGCAGUGAAAUGCGUAGAUAUGUGGAGGAAUACCGAUGGCGAAGGCAGCCUCCUGGGAUAACACUGACGCUCAUGCACGAAAGCGUGGGGAGCAAACAGG
rnacentral:rRNA from 1 species